GUGUUGUCUUCAGCAGCACUUAUGCUCAAAUUGAAACAAUACAGGGAAGAUGAACAUGACCCCAGCACAAGGAUGACAUGAACUCCAUGAAACAUUUCAUAUUUUA